rnacentral:rRNA from 1 species
UGGCGAGUUUGAUCCUGGCUCAGGACGAACGCUGGCGGCGUGCCUAACACAUGCAAGUCGAACGCUCUCCCCGCGAGGGGAGGGAGUGGCGGACGGGUGAGGAACACGUGGGUAACCUGCCCUGCAGUGGGGGAUACCGGUGCGAAAGCGCCGACAAUCCCGCAUACGGUGGCGCCUUGCGAGAGGCGUCAGGAAAGCUCCGUGCCGGAGGGCGCGGGGCGCUGCAGGAGGGGCCUGCGCCCGAUUAGCUUGUUGGUAGGGUAAAGGCCUACCAAGGCGACGAUCGGUAGCUGGUCUGAGAGGACGGCCAGCCACACUGGGAUUGAGAGACGGCCCAGACUCCUACGGGGGGCAGCAGUGAGGGAUCUUCGGCAAUGGGCGCAAGCCUGACCGAGCGACGCCGCGUGCAGGAAGAAGGCCUUCGGGUUGUAAACUGCUUUUCUGGGGGAAGAGAAGAGGACGGUACCCCAGGAAGAAGCCCCGGCAAACUACGUGCCAGCAGCCGCGGUAAGACGUAGGGGGCGAGCGUUGUCCGGAGUUACUGGGCGUAAAGGGCCUGUAGGCGGUCUGGCAGGUUCCCGCUGACAGCUCGCGGCUUCACUGCGAGAGAGGCGGGAAGACGGUCGGACUUGGAGGGCCACAGAGGGACAUGGAAUUCCCGGUGGAGCGGUGAAAUGCGUAGAGAUCGGGAAGAACACCGAAGGCGAAGGCAGUGUCCUGGGUGGUACCUGACGCUGAGAGGCGAAAGCUAGGGGAGCGAACGGGAUUAGAUACCCCGGUAGUCCUAGCCGUAAACGAUGACCACUAGGUGUGUGGGGAGAUCGACCCCCUGCGCGCCGAAGCGAACGCAGUAAGUGGUCCGCCUGGGGAGUACGGCCGCAAGGCUAAAACUCAAAGGAAUUGACGGGGACCCGCACAAGCAGCGGAGCGUGUGGUUUAAUUCGAUGCAACGCGAAGAACCUUACCAGGGUUGGACAAGCACGCUGAGGGUCCAGAGAUGGGCCGGCCCGCAAGGGAGGCGUGCUCAGGUGCUGCAUGGCUGUCGUCAGCUCGUGCCGUGAGGUGUUGGGUUAAGUCCCGCAACGAGCGCAACCCUCGCUCUCGGUUGGAGGUUUCCGAGGGGACUGCCGCGCACAACGCGGAGGAAGGUGGGGAUGACGUCAAGUCAGCAUGGCCCUGACAUCCUGGGCGACACACACGCUACAAUGGUCGGGACAGCGGGCAGCGACCCGGCGACGGGAAGCGAAUCCCUAAAACCCGAUCUCAGUGCAGAUUGCAGGCUGCAACCCGCCUGCAUGAAGGAGGAGUUGCUAGUAACCGCCGGUCAGCACACGGCGGUGAAUACGUUCUCGGGUCUUGUACACACCGCCCGUCACACCACGAAAGCCGGCAACACCUGAAGCCGUCGGGCUAACCCUGUGCUAAGGCAUGGGGAGGCAGGCGUCGAAGGUGGGGUCGGUGAUUGGGGUGAAGUCGUAACAAGGUAGCCGUACCGGAAGGUGCGGCUGGAUCACCUCCUUU